rnacentral:rRNA from 1 species
GAUGAACGCUGGCGGCGUGCCUAAUACAUGCAAGUCGAGCGAACGGACGAGAAGCUUGCUUCUCUGAUGUUAGCGGCGGACGGGUGAGUAACACGUGGAUAACCUACCUAUAAGACUGGGAUAACUUCGGGAAACCGUAGCUAAUACCGGAUAAUAUUUUGAACCGCAUGGUUCAAUAGUGAAAGACGGUCUUGCUGUCACUUAUAGAUGGAUCCGCGCUGCAUUAGCUAGUUGGUAAGGUAACGGCUUACCAAGGCAACGAUGCAUAGCCGACCUGAGAGGGUGAUCGGCCACACUGGAACGGAAACACGGUCCAGACUCCUACGGGAGGCAGCAGUAGGGAAUCUUCCGCAAUGGGCGAAAGCCUGACGGAGCAACGCCGCGUGAGUGAUGAAGGUCUUCGGAUCGUAAAACUCUGUUAUUAGGGAAGAACAUAUGUGUAAGUAACUGUGCACAUCUUGACGGUACCUAAUCAGAAAGCCACGGCUAACUACGUG